UGCUUACCAUGCAAGUCGAACGAUGACGGUGGUGCUUGCACCGCCUGAUUAGUGGCGAACGGGUGAGUAACACGUGAGUAACCUGCCCCCCACUUCGGGAUAACCUCGGGAAAUCGUGGCUAAUACCGGAUAUGAGCACUCAUCGCAUGGUGGGUGUUGGAAAGAUUUAUCGGUGGGGGAUGGACUCGCGGCCUAUCAGUUUGUUGGUGAGGUGAUGGCUCACCAAGACGAUGACGGGUAGCCGGCCUGAGAGGGCGACCGGCCACACUGGGACUGAGACACGGCCCAGACUCCUACGGGAGGCAGCAGUGGGGAAUAUUGCACAAUGGGCGAAAGCCUGAUGCAGCGACGCCGCGUGGGGGAUGACGGCCUUCGGGUUGUAAACCCCUUUCAGUAGGGAAGAAGCGAGAGUGACGGUACCUGCAGAAGAAGCGCCGGCUAACUACGUGCCAGCAGCCGCGGUAAUACGUAGGGCGCAAGCGUUGUCCGGAAUUAUUGGGCGUAAAGAGCUUGUAGGUGGCUUGUCGCGUCUGCCGUGAAAACCCGAGGCUCAACCUCGGGCGUGCGGUGGGUACGGGCAGGCUAGAGUGUGGUAGGGGAGACUGGAACUCCUGGUGUAGCGGUGAAAUGCGCAGAUAUCAGGAAGAACACCGAUGGCGAAGGCAGGUCUCUGGGCCAUUACUGACACUGAGAAGCGAAAGCAUGGGUAGCGAACAGGAUUAGAUACCCUGGUAGUCCAUGCCGUAAACGUUGGGCACUAGGUGUGGGGGACAUUCCACGUUUUCCGCGCCGUAGCUAACGCAUUAAGUGCCCCGCCUGGGGAGUACGGCCGCAAGGCUAAAACUCAAGGAAUUGACGGGGGCCCGCACAAGCGGCGGGAGCAUGCUGAUUAUUCGAUGCACGCGAAGAACCUUACCAAGGCUUGACAUGCACUGGACGGCUGCAGAGAUGGUGGCUUUCUUUGGACUGGUGCACCAGGGUGGGUGGCAUGGUU
rnacentral:rRNA from 1 species